GUCAGGAUUGGCUAGGAGAUUAUCCAAAGAUGGCAAGAAUGAGGCCACCUAACAAAUUAAAGAGAUAAAAGACAGACUUCAACAAUACAGAUGCCUUGCAGUAGUUCUUCCCAUCUGGAUGCCUUCGCUCCAAUUAAUACUUUCUCCAGCCUUAAGCUGUGUUGUAUUCCAUGGCAUGUAUGUGUGUGCACACACAUACCGUAUUUCCAUUAUGCAUCAGUUGUUGGGCAUCUUGACUCAUUCCAGAAUUUGGCUGUUGUGAACGGAGCUGCAGUAGGCACGGAGGCCUGGUGGUAUGGAUCUACUGAUGUGAUCUCAAAAUCUCCCCAAGAGAAGAGCGAGGAUGGAUUCCCAGCCUAUGCUUUCAUUCUGAUGACCACAAAGUAUGUCCCACAUUACCUACCUCACAUAGCUACUGGCUUGUGGAGCACUGACAAAUAAAGUCCUCGAAACGGUC